ensembl:lincRNA
GAAGAAGUCGUUGCUCCUAGACAUACCCAGACAUCCAUUUCAGCCAAAAUAAUUGAAAAAGACCCAUGAAGAGAGAAGAUGGAUGAAGAGCAAUACCAAAAGAGUUCAAAAUCACCUGAAAAGAAGCUAAAGACAGUUGAAUUCAAGAAAAAGAAAUGCGUUAGGUUUCUGUUACCCCAUAAAGCUGACAAGGAAAAGAAACCCUCUUCCCUACGAGAUACAGAUGAGUCAAAGUUCAGAUGUGAAUGCCGCCACUGCCAGAUGUGUGGGGGGAACACAUCUGGGGUCUCUGUGGGAACUAGGACUGAAGCAGUCUCUCCGUCAUCCUCCUGGGAAAAGCUAACACUAGACCUCAGUAACUUGACACUCAACCCUCAUACCACCCAGCCCCAUCUUGUGCAAGACACCAUAUCCAAAGGAGAGAACAAAAUGCAGUGGCCAAGGAAAAACAAAAGGAUGUUUCAAAAGGUUCUCUACGAAUGGACAGAAUAACUCUGACACUGUCAUCGUCAUGAGAAGGAAGAUCCAAACCUACAGGGCCAUGAGUAUCAACAUCUUUUGGGGAGCAAGUUCAGGAGGAGUAAUGUCCAACCUGGUGAUAAUAAUACAGCCUGAUCAUGACUCUAAUCUAUUCCACAAAUAUAGCCAUCUUUUCCUUGGUAAUUUAGGCAUCUUACCUUAGGCAUUCUGGGAAGAGAUGCUCCUCAGCAUGGAUGACCAGAUUGCGAUAUUUCUACACUCCCCAUGUCAGUGUUCCCAUGGGAUUUGCUACCGAUUUUCCCCUCCUCGGGUUUGAGGCUUUUCCUCCCUUACAUUGUUGCCAGUAAAGUUAGAACAUCUAU